rnacentral:rRNA from 1 species
AGUGAACGCUGGCGGUAGGCCUAACACAUGCAAGUCGAACGGCAGCACAGUAAGAGCUUGCUCUUACGGGUGGCGAGUGGCGGACGGGUGAGGAAUACAUCGGAAUCUACUUUUUCGUGGGGGAUAACGUAGGGAAACUUACGCUAAUACCGCAUACGACCUACGGGUGAAAGCAGGGGAUCUUCGGACCUUGCGCGAUUGAAUGAGCCGAUGUCGGAUUAGCUAGUUGGGGGGGUAAAGGCCCACCAAGGCGACGAUCCGUAGCUGGUCUGAGAGGAUGAUCAGCCACACUGGAACUGAGACACGGUCCUGACUCCUACGGGAGGCAGCAGUGGGGAAUAUUGGACAAUGGGCGCAAGCCUGAUCCAGCCAUACCGCGUGGGUGACGAAGGCCUUCGGGUUGUAAAGCCCUUUUGUUGGGAAAGAAAAGCAGCAGGUUAAUACCCCGCUGUUCUGACGGUACCCAAAGAAUAAGCACCGGCUAACUUCGUG